UAAAAAAUUUGGCGGUAUUUUAGUCUAUUCAGAGGAACCUGUUCUGUAAUCGAUAAUCCACGAUGGACCUUACUUAAGUUUGUAAUCAGUUUAUAUACCGUCGUUAUUAGAAUAUUUUAUAAGAAUGUUAAUUUUCAUGAUUUUAAAAAAGAAAAUAUAUCAGAUCAAGGUGUAGCUAAUAUUUAAGUAGAAAUGGGUUACAAUAAAAUUAUUUAUACGAAUAUAAAUGUGAAAUGUUUAUUGAAGGUGGAUUUGAUAGUAAAAUUAUAAAGAUUAAUAAUUUGAUUUUAGCUCUAAAAUAUGCACACAUCGCCCGUCACUCUUACUACUAAGGUAAGAUAAGUCGUAACAUAGUAGAUGUACUGGAAAGUGUACCUAGAAUGCAAUUUAAAGCUUAUUUAGUAAAGCAUUUCAUUUACAUUGAAAAGAUUUUUGUGCAAAUCAAUAUAAAUUGAAUAGAUUUUAUUUAUUAAUUAUUUUUGUUUAAAAAUUAAAUUAUUAAAAAUAAUUAUAAAAUGAAUUGUUUUAGUAUUUAAUAAAGAAAAAAUAAUAUUAAUUAUAGUGUAAUAGUAU
rnacentral:rRNA from 1 species